GCGCGAGUGGUGAAAUUGGCAUACACGCUAGACUUAGGAUCUAGUGCUUCGGCGUGUGGGUUCGAGUCCCACCUUGCGCA
rnacentral:tRNA from 1 species